rfam:Homo sapiens chromosome 1, GRCh38 reference primary assembly.
GCCAAGUGUGGUGAUGUGCACCUGUAAUCCCAGCUACUUGGGAGGCUGAGGCAGGAGAAUUGCUUGAACCCAGGAGGUGGAGUUGGAGGUUGCAGUGAGCAGAGAUCAUGCAACUGCACUCCAGCCUGGGUAACAGAGUGAGACCCUGUCUCAA